rnacentral:rRNA from 1 species
AUGCUGGUGCAGUUCGCGGUGGUGCUGGGCGGGUGCAACUUCGAGACCACCGUGGCCUGCUCCGAGGAGUCCAGACUCGUCAGCGAGGUGAACGGCGAGGGCGCCCUCCGGCUCCUCGCCGCGGCAAUGGAGGGGCGGAGGAGGGGAGGCGAUAGAGAGCGGGAGGAGGCCAAGGCGAGGUAUGAGGUGUUCGUCAAGAGCAAGAAGGGGAGGAAGGAAAGCAAGGCACGAAGAGAGGUGCUCGUAGGCCUGUGCUGCUCUGCCGCCAACGCUGUCGCUGUGCUGGCCUUCUUCGUCACCGUCGUGCUCCGGUGA